AUGGAGUUCUUGCUUGGCUGGGUUUUCCUUGUUGCUCUUUUAAAAGGUGUCCAGUGUGAGGUGCAGCUGGUGGAGUCUGGGGGAGACCUGGUGAAGCCUGGUGGGUCCCUGAGACUCUCCUGUGCUGCCUCUGGAUUCACUUUCAGCAGCUACUACAUGUACUGGGUCCGCCAGGCUCCAGGAAAGGGGCUGCAGUGGGUCGCAGUUAUUAGUAGUGAUGGAAGUAACACAGGCUACGCGGACUCUGUGAAGGGCCGAUUCACCAUCUCCAGAGACAAUGGCAAGAACACGCUGUAUCUGCAGAUGAAUAGCCUGAGAGACGAGGACACAGCCAUCUAUUACUGUGCAAAGGACGCAGUGAGGGGAUGUCAGUGUGAGCCCAGACACAAACCUUACUGUAGAAGGGGAUCUGGUCACCAGGAGGUGCACACUGCUCACCAAUUCUGUCUUGAAACCCCAGGAGCAGAUGCAGCUUGA